GACGAACCGUGCGAACGUUGUUCGGAAUCACUGGGCUUAAAGGGCGCGUAGGCGGCCACCGCAAGUCGACUGUGAAAUCUCUGGGCUUAACCCAGAACGGUCAGCCGAUACUGCGGGGCUAGAGUGCAGAAGGGGCAACUGGAAUUCUCGGUGUAGCGGUGAAAUGCGUAGAUAUCGAGAGGAACACCUGCGGCGAAGGCGGGUUGCUGGGCUGACACUGACGCUGAGGCGCGAAAGCUAGGGGAGCGAACGGG
rnacentral:rRNA from 1 species